rnacentral:rRNA from 1 species
AGAGUUUGAUCCUGGCUCAGAUUGAACGCUGGCGGCAUGCUUUACACAUGCAAGUCGAACGGUAACAGGGAGCUUGCUCCGCUGACGAGUGGCGAACGGGUGAGUAAUGCGUCAGAACGUGCCAAGUAGUGGGGGAUAACGCAGCGAAAGUUGUGCUAAUACCGCAUACUUACUGAGGUAGAAAGUGGGGGACCUUCGGGCCUCACGCUAUUCGAGCGGCCGACGUCUGAUUAGCUAGUAGGUGAGGUAAAGGCUCACCUAGGCGACGAUCAGUAUCGGGUCUGAGAGGAUGAUCCGCCACACUGGGACUGAGACACGGCCCAGACUCCUACGGGAGGCAGCAGUGGGGAAUUUUGGACAAUGGGCGAAAGCCUGAUCCAGCCAUGCCGCGUGUCUGAAGAAGGCCUUCGGGUUGUAAAGGACUUUUGUUGGGGAGGAAAUCCCCAGCGUUAAUACCGCUGGGGGAUGACAGUACCUGAAGAAUAAGCACCGGCUAACUACGUGCCAGCAGCCGCGGUAAUACGUAGGGUGCAAGCGUUAAUCGGAAUUACUGGGCGUAAAGCGUGCGCAGGCGGUUCGAUAAGCCAGAUGUGAAAUCCCCGAGCUCAACUUGGGAAUUGCGUUUGGAACUGUCAGACUAGAGUGCGUCAGAGGGGGGUGGAAUUCCGCGUGUAGCAGUGAAAUGCGUAUAGAUGCGGAGGAACACCGAUGGCGACGCAGCCCCCUGGGAUGACACUGACGCUCAUGCACGAAAGCGUGGGGAGCAAACAGAUUAGAUACCCUGGUAGUCCACGCCCUAAAUAUGUCAUUAUCUGUUGGGGUUAGAUCCCUGGUAGCGUAGCUAACGCGUGAAUUGACCCCUGGGGAGUACGGCCGCAGGUUAAACUCAAAAGAUUGACAGAAUCACUAGUGAUUCGCCGCCGCCUGCUGUCCACAUAUGGGA